GAUGAACGCUAGCGGCAGGCCUAACACAUGCAAGUCGAGGGGUAGAACACUUCGGUGUUUGAGACCGGCGCACGGGUGCGUAACGCGUAUGCAAUCUACCUUGUACAGGGGAAUAGCCCAGAGAAAUUUGGAUUAAUGCCCCAUAGUAUAUAACCUUCGCAUGUUGGUUAUAUUAAAGUUCCAACGGUACAAGAUGAGCAUGCGUCCCAUUAGUUAGUUGGUAAGGUAACGGCUUACCAAGACGAUGAUGGGUAGGGGUCCUGAGAGGGAGAUCCACCACACUGGUACUGAGACACGGACCAGACUCCUACGGGAGGCAGCAGUGAGGAAUAUUGGUCAAUGGGCGCAAGCCUGAACCAGCCAUGCCGCGUGCAGGAAGACGGUCCUAUGGAUUGUAAACUGCUUUUAUACAGGAAGAAACCCUCCCACGUGUGGGAGAUUGACGGUACUGUAGGAAUAAGGAUCGGCUAACUCCGUGCCAGCCGCCGCGGUAAAAC
rnacentral:rRNA from 1 species